rnacentral:rRNA from 1 species
CCUACGGGUGGCAGCAGUGAGGAAUAGUGGUCAAUGGACGGAAGUCGGAACCAGCCAUGCCGCGUGCAGGAAGACGGCGCUAUGAGUUGUAAACUGCUUUUGUACAAGGGUAAACCGGAAUACGUGGAUUCAGCUGAAAGUACUGUACGAAUAAGGAUCGGCUAACUCCGUGCCAGCAGCCGCGGUAAUACGGAGGAUCCAAGCGUUAUCCGGAUUUAUUGGGUUGAAAGGGUGCGUAGGCGGAUUGAUAAGUUAGAGGUGAAAUGUCCGAGCUUACCUCGGGAACUGCCUCUCAUACUGUUGAUCUCGCGCGUAGCUGCGGUAGGCUGAAUGUCUGGUGUAGCGGU